rnacentral:rRNA from 1 species
GACGAACGCUGGCGGCGUGCUUAACACAUGCAAGUCGAACGGUGAAGCGCCUUCCUUUUUGGUGGGUGUGGAUGAGUGGCGAACGGGUGAGUAACACGUGAGUAACCUGCCCCCUUCUUCUGGAUAACCGCAUGAAAGUGUGGCUAAUACGGGAUAUUCUGGGUCUGUCGCAUGAUGGGUCUGGGAAAGAUAUUGUUUCGGUGGGGGAUGGGCUCGCGGCCUAUCAGCUUGUUGGUGGGGUGAUGGCCUACCAAGGCGGUGACGGGUAGCCGGCCUGAGAGGGUGGACGGUCACACUGGGACUGAGACACGGCCCAGACUCCUACGGGAGGCAGCAGGGGGGAAUAUUGCACAAUGGGCGCAAGCCUGAUGCAGCGCCGCCGCGGGAGGGAUGGAGGCCUGCGGGUUGUGAACCUCUUUCGCCAGUGAAGCAGGCUUGCCUCGUUUGUGGGUGGGUUGACGGUAGCUGGAUAAGAAGCGCCGGCUAACUACGUG